UAUCUCUGUAGAGUCUGCAUAUCAAUAAGCGGAGGAAAAGAAACUAACUAGGAUUCCCUCUGUAACGGCGAGUGAAGCGGGAAGAGCUCAAAUUUGAAAUCUUCAAGGUUUUACCUUGACGAAUUGUAGUUUAAAGAAGUGUUUUCUGUUGGAGUUUUGGUAAAAGUUCUUUGGAAUAGGACAUCAUAGAGGGUGAGAAUCCCGUAUUUGACCAUUAUUUCCAGCUUUGUGAUACACUUUCAAAGAGUCGGAUUGUUUGGGAAUGCAGUCCAAAAUGGGUGGUAAAUUUCAUCUAAAGCUAAAUACUGGCGAGAGACCGAUAGCGAACGAGUACCGUGAGGGAAAGAUGAAAAGAACUUUGAAAAGAGAGUUAAACAGUACGUGAAAUUGUCAAAAGGGAAGCGUUUGACACCAGUGUUGUUUCUACGAAAAUCAAUUAUAGACUGGAUUUGUGUAUGUAAUUGACUUUAUCAGCUUUCUGCCUCUUAGUUUCUUGUCUUUGUGAAUGCACUUUUCGUUGAACAAGUCAACAUCAAUUUCUUUUGUUGUAGAAGAGUCAGAUGGAAGGUGGCUUCGGCUUUCGGUAGAAAGUGUUUAUAGCCUUUUAUCCUCUGCAGUCGGAGAGAUUGAGGUCUGCAGCGUAGAUCCUUCGGGGUUAGAUACAGUUGGUGCUAAGUUAUAGCCUUUCAUAGACAACUUGUUGACUAUGAUCAGUCAUGUAGCUUACUCGCUUAUGCUAUUUUACCUACGCUUAGGAUGUUGAGUCAUCACACAUCUCU
rnacentral:rRNA from 1 species